UACAGAGGGUGCAAGCGUUAAUCGGAAUUACUGGGCGUAAAGCGCGCGUAGGCGGCUUGACAAGUCGAGUGUGAAAUCCCCGGGCUUAACCUGGGACCUGCAUUCGAAACUGUCUUGCUAGAGUAUGGGAGAGGGAAGUGGAAUUUCAGGUGUAGCGGUGAAAUGCGUAGAUAUUCGCAAGAACACCAGUGGCGAAGGCGGCUCACUGGCCCGGUACUGACGCUGAGGUGCGAAAGCGUGGGGAGCAAACAGG
rnacentral:rRNA from 1 species